GCUCGACGUUAAAUCUAAAAAUGUUCGUUCGGUUUUGGGUUCGAUUUACAUAAAAUUUCAAGUGACGAUCACGUUCGCUAGAGAUAAUAUGUUUAGAAAAUUGUAUUUGUAAUUUAAACACAUACAUAUGUAUACAUAGUGAGUUAUUCAGCAGCAACCGGAUUUGGUGUUUUCCACUGGACGUCCUUGAUCGAUUUUCACUUUGCUAGCGUUGUCAGUGGCGCUGGACGGCGGCCCGACGCGAUUCUUGAUCUCCGCCGCCAUCGUCAUGAAGGCCUGCUCAACGUUGGUGGCGCUCUUGGCCGAAGUUUCAAGGAAUGGAAUGCCUAACUGGGCGGCGUACUCCUGGAAUUUUGGAAACAAAGACCCAGAUUAGUAUAUACGUGCAUCUAUGAUUCCCAGGACUAAACCAGCAAUAUACGCACCGCAGCUGUGGUGUGGUCGACUACUUUCUUGGUGGUCAAGUCGCUCUUGUUGCCAACCAGCAACUUGUUGACAUUCUCACAGGCAUACCGCUCGAUCUCCUCCAGCCACUGCUUCACAUUGUUGAAAGACUCCUGGUCCGUGCAAUCGUAUACGACAAUGAUGCCAUGGGCGCCCCUAUAAUAUGAAGACGUGAUGGUGCGGAAGCGCUCCUGGCCAGCAGUAUCCCACUGUAAACAGACUAAUUAGCUCUGGACUAGAUUGCCUCUGGCGUUUUUAUGCUUACGAUUUGCAGUUUAAUGGUCUUUCCGUCGAGUUCUAUAGUCCUGAUUUUCUGCAAGAUAAAGGUUUAUGAGUCAGACAUAAAGAAUUUUCACAAAUUUCCGGUUGGCUUACGAAAUCCACUCCGAUUGUGCUGAUAUAACUUUCUGUAUAUGUGUCAUCGGCAAAUCGCAACAGAAGACAGGACUUUCCAACGCCCGAGUCUCCAAUAAGCAGCAACUUAAAGAGAUAAUCGCUGUGGAUUUGGAGAUAGUUAAUAUAGUUAAUGUUAUAAAAUAGUUAUAUAGUU
ensembl:ncRNA asRNA:CR45798 antisense RNA:CR45798